UCCGGUGGGGGCGGCGGCGGGAGGAAGGGGAGCGGAGGCGGAGGCGCAGCGAGUCAAUGAGGCAUCGCGUGGCAGAGGAGACGGCGGCUGUCGGGCAGGGGCAUCGCGUGGCAGAGGAGGCGGCGGCUGUCGGGCGGGGGCAUCGCGUGGCAGAGGAGACGGCAGCGGCGGCGAGACGAGGGACGCCCGAGCUCCUCGGCCCAGCUCAACAGAAGGUUUUACAGCUCGAGUCAUACUCAGAUAUGCCCAUCAGUUCAGCAACAUCACAUGUUGAUAGCAUUUCAUUUCGUUUGUGCAAUUUGAAUCUGUAUUCAGUUUUUCAUAGAUAAUUUGAGCACACGCCUUGUUUCUGAAUUUCCCCAUGACUUUUGUGCAGUUCAGUGUAGUUCAUCAUGAUUACUUAAUUAAAGUAUACCAACACUCUUCUACCUGGCACGACAAUAGCUUUUUCAGUCUGUCCAACAUCAACCCUGCACCACUGUCAACAAAGACUGCUCCUAAAUUCCACUGCAACAUCCAUAUUUAUAUUUAUUUUGACCAGAAAAAUGUCGUAACAGUUCCUAAAUUCUGUAUAGUUAUUCCGUUGGCAAUUGUUCAGUAUAUUUUGUGCAAGAAUUGGGUGUACAUCUGACAAAUUUCCACUGCAACAGAGUAAUAAGAAGCAGAGAAGCAUUUCAAUCUAUCUGAUACAUCUGUUUUCAUGCUAAGUAGGGUUUAAAUUAUGGUUUUGGAUAAUAAUCAUGAGUUCAUAAUUUUGCAUCAGGACCUAGAAGCACUUUUUCUCAUACAUUGGCAUAUCGUAUCAAUGGAGCAUGGGCGACCCAUGGUGCACAUACAGCUUGCUACCGAAGUACCCAUCAGUGGCACAUAUCAGUGCUUUGUUCUUUGGAGGCAUAUACCCGAGGAUCAGUCUAAGUCAGAAGAGAUGAUACACAGGUACAUAUAUAUGCUCAAUUACCUCUGGCCGCGUACACAUGGAUAAGGCAAGAUGGAAGCUCACACUACCGAUACUAAUGUAAGACCAAAGCCGAUCUAGGAAGGGAUGUUGGGCUCUUGGCGCCCCCGAGUCAUGUCUGAAAAAAUCAGCACUGCAGAUUGUUUGGUAAGCUCCGUGAACUCCAAUAGAUGUCCUCAUUAUUUACUUCACAAACAGCUUAAACUUAUAGAAGAAGCACGCGUUUAUGAAACUUGGAUGGAAGGUGUCAUAGGUAAAAUAAGACGGCAGAUGACUUGAUGCAUUAUGCCAAACCAGUUAUGGAUAUGAAUAGUUCUUUCAUUUAAAGGAUACAGUUCGCUCCAUGUUUCGGCAGACAAAUUCAGAGGAAUAAUAUAUAUGUCGCUGUUGUUUUUUUUGCAGGGAAAAUAUAUCACAGUUGCUAGCAUCUUCUUUUUACGUUAAACUUAAAUAACAUUUUUUUGUGUCCAAAAUAUAUAUUAGAUACUUCCUACUGUAUACUUCAAACUCAGUCGGGAUAGUUCGUAUCUCUUUUCAAGAUGCAUCAUAUAUCACAUGGAGGAUUUUAGAGUUUGUCGAAGUCACACUGAUACGAUCUUUGGUGUUGCUUAAAUUUGCAUCAAUGGUGCGAUAUACAAUCAUAAUUAAAUGCACCUAACAAUACACUGAAUCGUUUAGGGAAUGAUACAUUGAAUCAUACUCCACUUUGCACGUUAUUUUUAUUACUAUCUUUGAUUUUGUAUUGGAAUCAACUGGGCACUACUAAAUGCAACAUACAUGGUUUUAGGUAGUGGACUUGCCAAGUAUACAAGAUUUUCAAUCGCAAUUUUAUGAAUGGAGAAGGUAGUAUUUUUUUGGUAGAAUAUAUAUUUACCCUCAUUAGAGUAUAGUAUGUUACAUAAUAAUUCAGGGCUCUAUGAGAUUCAGUUAUUAGAGAUACAAAUAUUGGUGAAUAUGGCCAUGUUAUCAUGUAUACUAUCUUUUUUUCCUUUGAUAUAUAGUGCGAGUACAGAUCUACCAACCACUCCCAAAAUAUAUAACAACUUAAUAGACUAUUUGUGUAACAUAAUUUAAACCGUACAUAAUAUAUGUUAAUUAUCCAAUCAGGAAUUAAUUGAAAAUGAAUGUAUCAUUUCUGGCACUCCGUAACCAAUAUGCAUGGUUUCAUGUUAUUAGUUCCAAAAAAGUAUUCAAAUUAGUAUUAUAAUUUAUUCUUCCAACCAAUUUAAAAGAAGGUCAGCUUAUAUACAACUACUAAAAUAGGCUAGCCCGUGCAGAUGCACGGGUUGGCGGCUAGUACUUGCUAAUUGAUGUUUUGAGGGGUGCUCAUAUACUUACUCGGCAACAUGGAAAGUUUUCACAUUUGUUCUAGCUGUCUCUAUGGGUUAGCGACUUAGCAUACAUGUUGUAAUAAGGUUUCACAUUUGCUUCUCUCACAAGUAAGGUCUGUUUUUAUUCAUAGGUAGAAGAUAGCGAAAGAGUGCUGCAGGAUAAUGAGAUGUUGAAGCGGCAGACUGAAUCCAUGACACCGAAGUGCAAUUGCGGCAGAUUAUCUCUAUCUUUUCUUUUCAUUUUUCUUAUUAUUGAGUGAGAACAGAAUGAGGAACUGUGUGAUAGUACAUACAACAACUGUAGUAAAAAGAAACUUAUGUUUGCAAUUGUUAAUGACAUAGAUACUUGCAUGUUCUUUCAAGUGGUCAUUUGUGAGUAGCAAUGCAUAAUGAGGUUUUUUGGCUGAUUUAUUUCCUUUGGUUUCCGGUUAACCAUGAAAUAGGAGCCCAGCAGUGCUCACUAUUGUGUUUACUGGGAACUGUAUGCAUAAAACUAUUGUGUUUACUGGGAACUGUAUGCAUAAAAUG
rnacentral:lncRNA from 1 species